ACUGCGCAGGCGCUGCGGGAGGCCACUGGUGCUCAAGCACCUCGGAUUCCCGCUCAUACAGCCGGCCGGAUCAUGUGGCAGUCAGGUGGCGACCACUAUCUAGCCCAACGUUGCUGGAGUUGUUGCAGCUCUGCCGGGCCCACAUAUCAGCGUUCGUGCAUGACGGUGAGUUGCCACCCAUGGCAUCUCUGGACCAGUUGCAGGCCAGAUUUGGGAACAGCCCGCCUGGCUCCCUGUCCUCCCUGAGGCUGAUGCAGGCAGACAGCCUCCUGUGGAUGGGUCACAAAAUGACUGUGCAGCAGCCGAAGGCCCCUGGAACCCAGACAGAUGUGCUACUGGCUGACCUUCAGCACUGCAGGCAGCAGAAGGGCUACCCCUGGGGAGGCCCAGGCCCAGGGCUUCCCCCGCCCCCUGAACUACACCCAUGGCUGCCACUUCAGCUGAUCUGCGGUGACAUGCCCACCACCACCUCAGACCUCUACAGCUUCUGCAUCCUGAUCCAGGAGGUCUUCACUGAGAAACUGUACAUCAAGUGGCUCACAGAGCCAAGACCACACCCAGGCCUGUGGCCCCUGUGAUGUCCCCAGGCCCCAUCCCAUGCCAGGCCUGAGACUCCUGAGGUCAGAGACCACAGCAGGAUCCCAAGGGGUGCAGCCUGGAACUUGGGCAGCAGCUUGACUCUAGGCAGCAGCUCUGGGCCCAGCCCAGGACCCAGCCCUGGGUCUGGCCACAGCCCCACAGCCAGGGUCAGCCUGCACUGCUGCCUGGAGCCCAGCUCAACAGUACAGAUACCCCCAGAGCCCUGCACAACUGUCCCACUGCUAACCUGUGACCCCCUCCGCCCGCCCUCCAGGAGUCACCAACCCGAAGUUCCCUGGCUGCCUCUCCUUUGACCAGGGAACUUUAGGGUCGCCCAACUGUCCCCUCACUCACCUAUGACCCUUAACCAACCCUGCUUCCCCCAGGGCCCUUCCCUGCACUCCAACUCCAGCCUCUAGGACUCAGCCUCCCUGCUGGGGACCCAGAGCUCUGCGGAACAGUUUGAGGAAGCUCUCAGCCAAGAUUCCAGCCCUGCAGGGGCUGCUGCGGCGCACACACAGGGUUAUUCUGCUGGAGCCCCAGCCCUGUGAGCCCAUCCCCAGCCUGCUGACCCACAGGGAGGCUUCCCACACACUGGGAGGCUGCUGGCAGGGAAGGCCACGAGGGCAGGCUAAGCAGAGGACCCCGAGCUCAGCCUGUGCCCCAUCUGCCCUCCCAGGCCCGCUGGAGCACCAUGGCUACCAGGUGGCAGCUCCAGCCUUCUCUCCUGCAGGCACCCGGUACUGAGCUGACUAGAGGAGGUCUCUUCUCCAGCCUGCAGAAGUGAGACCCGAGGCCUUGGAUGGGAGGACCCCAGGUAACCCUAGGUCUUUAUCCCUGAGGUAACCCUAGGUCUACCUGUGCCUCACUGCUCCCCAGGAUGGACCUGCUGGAGGAGAUCAUAGCAGAGCUACAAAAAGGAUGUCAGCUUGGAGAAAAGCCCAGCCUGAGCCCCACUCCUGACCUAGACUCCCAGGGUGCCCAUGGUUCCCCUCUCUGCAGAUACCACCUCUCAGAGGCUCCCAGGAGUAACUCCUGCCUUGGUGCCUCCCCAAAAGGAAAUAGAAUGAUAAAGUGCCCCC
ensembl:lncRNA TEX14BP testis expressed 14B, pseudogene